UGAGGAGCCGGUGCAGAGCAGGGCUCCACGCUGUUGAGAGACCAGCAGAGAAACUGUGGUUAGGCAACCUGCUCUGGCGCUGUGUAGACCAUGCUGUGUCAAGAUGCUGUGGCUUUGCCAAAGAAUGGCAGAGUGAUUUAAGGCUCUGGAAGAGCUCAACUGAGCUCAGCCAGCUUGACGAUACCUGGGAUUCUCUCGCCGCACUGCCUCCUCUCAAAUAACACACCAGGUGACUGCACAGUUCGUUCCGUACUAUGGCAAAG